rnacentral:rRNA from 1 species
GCGAACGGCUCAUUAUAACAGCUAUAAUUUACUUGAUGUUGACAUCCCCUGUGGAUAACUGUGGUAAUUCUAGAGCUAAUACAUGCACCAAAGCUCAGAUUAACGACGAGCGCAUCUAUUAGACCAAAAACCAAUGGGGUGCAAACCCCUUAGUUUGGUGACUCUGAAUAGCUAUGGCUGAUCGCAUGGUCUUGAACCAGCGACGUGUCUAUCAAGUAUCUGCCUUAUCAACUUUCGAUGGUAGUUUAUGUGCCUACCAUGGUUGUUACGGGUAACGGAGAAUAAGGGUUCGACUCCGGAGAGGGAGCCUGAGAAACGGCUACCACAUCCAAGGAAGGCAGCAGGCGCGCAAAUUACCCACUCUCGGCACGAGGAGGUAGUGACGAAAAAUAACGAGACCGUUCUCAAUGAGGCCGGUCAUCGGAAUGGGUACAAUUUAAACCCGUUAACGAGGAUCUAUGAGAGGGCAAGUCUGGUGCCAGCAGCCGCGGUAAUUCCAGCUCUCAAAGUGUAUAUCGUCAUUGUUGCGGUUAAAAAGCUCGUAGUUGGAUCACUGCCUGUGGCCUCGGUCCACCAUCUUGGUGCUGUACUGAGUCGCCCGGGCUAUGUUAUGUGCUGGUUUUCUCUACGUUGCCUUUACCGGUUGCGUAGGGUGGCUGGCGGGUUUACCUUGAAAAAAUUAGAGUGCUUAAAGCGGGCUUUUAGGCCUGAAUAGUGGUGCAUGGAAUAAUAGAAUAGGAUCUCGGUUCUAUUUUGUUGGUUUUCUGAACAGAGAUAA